AGUGAGUGCCAUUUGGGAAUAUGAAGAGGGCUCCGAGUGGAAAAGGUAUCCAAAUGAUAUCAAUGUAAAGAUUGAAAAAGCUUAUCAAAGAAAGAAGACAGGAAAAACAAUCAUCGAAAUGGAUCGAACAACGUGAGUUUGUGAUCAUUUUUCAAUAUUCUAUUACUAUCUUUUCUGUUCUCAUUGAUACUUUCAAAUACCAAGAAGAAAGCAAUGUCAGAGCUUUCAAAAACCCAGGAAAACAAUUACACAUGAAUUAACAGACAGGGAAGUGAAAACUGUCAGAAUAACUUAGCUUCAAAAGAAUGAUAUAAUUAUUUAUGCCGAAAGAUGAAGCAUGUUUGCUGUAAAAAGUAAACUCACAAAAAUAUCGAACUCCGAGGAAAAUUCUAAAUAGAAAGUUCCAAAUCAAAUGACAAAAUCAAAUGCUCAAACACAUCAAACAAAUGGGUAACAGAUGUUAUAUUCCUAACUUGGUACAAGCAUUUUUAUGUAUGUAGAAAAUGGUAAAUUAAACCUGGUUUGAUAGCUAGAUAAACCUCUCACUUGUAGGACAGUCGCAUAUAAUUCGAUUAUAUUGACAACGAUGUGUGAACAAAAAAAAACAGACAUAAUAGGUAAAAAUGUCAAUAACUAAUUUGUGAUUCAUUGAUAUAUAAAAUACUUGAAACGAAAAAAUUAUAUCUUAAUAAAUUUGUUUUACGUACCAAAUAAGCAUUUCGAAAAUUGAUAUCCCCUCCAUGUUGUUAAAAGCUCGUCUGAAUAGUGUUACUUGUGUUAUUCCGGUUAUCUCUUACUAAUCUCCGAUUGUUACAGUACGCUAUAGGCCGCUUGAGGGCGUAGAACUCAAGUCAGUUCGAAGCCAAAAAAUAAGAAAGUACCAAAAUCUGAUAUAAACGUGGAAUAACCGAUCAAAAACAAAAAAAGAUAAACACAUUAAAGCAUACAUCAGGACAAGGAAUUAGAGGUAUGCUUGAGAGGGAUAAAGUCCUUUAUUUAAAGUAUUAUCGAAAUAUAUUCUGUAACAACACAAAUGUAAUCGAAUUAUAUUCUAUAACAACAAUCGAACAAUAUAUGUACUUUCGUAUCAGCACCGAUGCACUGGAUACAGAGAUGGGGAUAUUUUCUGGAAGAAGCAGUACAUAUACCAUUGGAUGUAUCGACCUAAUGCUAGCAGUAUAUAUUCGUAUUUGAUAUAAUCCUGGUACAUUUGAUAACUAAAUAUAUACGUUCAAGUCUUAGUUCAUAUUUGAAUUGAUAUUAUAUUUGUAGAGUGUACAUAACGAUUAUUGAAUUCUACUGAGAAUUUUGAUUGGAAAACACUAAUUAAAGAAACCAGGCUUGAAUCUAUAAAAUAGAUAUUGUGUUCAAAUCUUAAGACCAUCAUUUUGAAAUCAAAUUAGAAAAAAAGAAAAUCUUAUUGAUUGAUCUUUAGAUCUUUCGCAGAAUGGCAUUGUAUACGUUUGUUCUCGCUAUAAAACACGUUAUCCAUGCAAUGUUAACACCAAACAUGCAAACAUGCCAAUAUAUCUAACUACAGUUACAUUAAGAAUCGUUUGACAGCAUCAGGGACGUAAUAUUAUUAAACAUUUUUGCUUUGCUCUUAUUUCUAAUUACAAUUUGUAUAUAAAUAAUAAUCACAACUCAAUAUAAAAAUUGCCCUUUUCAUAUAAACUAAGACGAAUCCCACUGAAAACCGGAGGGAUAAUACAAAGGCUAAUCUAAAUAUGUUUAUAGGCAACGGAAAUUUACAGUUUUAAAUUGACCAUAUAAAGAACUCUUACUUACAUUGCAGAUACCAAAUAUAUUUUCAAAGAAUGAUUCAAGAGAAUCCAAGUAAUAAGACAGAAAAGUCCAUCCGCAGGAAAGGUUGGUAAAUAAUUGUUCGAUAUUGUCAAAUUACAAUGUGGUGCAUAAGUUUCAUUCAUUUCAAACUUGUUAUUUAAAACAAGUCACCAAAGGUACCAAGCAUAACGCGUGUUUCGUCUGUACAAGUCAGUUUGAAUGUUAAAUCAAUUGAGGAGAAGAUUAACAUUGAAUACAAAUUAUGUUAUAAGCUAUGUAAAAACUGGUGGAAUUUGUUUUAUACACAGAAUAUUGAAAGGGAGUUUAAAAUAUUUUAUGUUGAAUAAACAAAAUGUUGUUCAUAAUAAAACGAUAGGAAAGCAGUUUUGAUACAGGAUAUGUACAUGCACUAGUCUGCCACCGUUUUUGACAAACGAAUAUUUUAAAAAUAAUUAUGUUAUAAUUUCCGAGAACAUAACAUUGACAUAAAAAAAAUGUUAAAAAGCGUCAAAUGUUGUGUAAUUAUCAUUAUACUUCGUGCAAAUGAGGUUUGCCAUUUCUUAGAACUUUAAACUAGGGCAACAGUUUAUCGAUAUUCAUAACUGCAAUAUCGAUUACAAAAUACAACUCAUGGUAACAAAUUUGCGUUACUGUUCCAUCUUUUCCAAUGAAAAACACCUGUUUCUGUGUUGGGUUGUGUGUAAUGUGGUAGGUCAGUCUGUCCAUUUUCAAGGCAUAUUUUCAAUUUUUUGAUCGACUUGGGAGUUUGAAUGUUCCUUGUGAAUCUUUCGCCUUUAGACUUUCACUAAAAUUUCUACAUGACGAUCAUAAACAAAUAUAAUGUUUAAAUAUUUGUUUGCUAAAAGGAAUUAAAUGAAUCAUAUUAGUUUAAAUAGUUUGCAAUGAGUCAAGAUAAAAGUACUUAAAAAAAAAACAUUCAUUAUAUUUUAGAUUAAGCUGGGAGAUGAUAAAAAGAACAUGUCUGCAGAAAACUGAUAGA
rnacentral:lncRNA from 1 species